CUGAGGUGAGCCAGAGGCAUUCUUUCCAUAGCCUCUUCCUCAGAAGAGAGGCAGAAGCACUCACUGGCUUUCGCGGUGCUGGCCUGGGUUUUAAUACCAAUCUAGCCUCUCAGUGAUUGAGCCAAGGUUACUUUGGUCAUGGUGUUUCAUUGAAGCAAUAGUAAAUCUAAGACAACAUCUCAUGGUCCUGUCAUCUCCAGCAUCUAGGAGGUCUUCAUUGUAACUCAGGCUUUACCUGUAGUGUUUCAUAAAAUGGCCUCUCAGGACUUUCUGAUAUGGUGGCCCCUGUAUGUCUCUGCUGCUGAACUUGGGAAGACACGACCAUAGGUGAUUGCUUUUUAGCAAAGAACCUCCGUGGCUGUGUUCUCAGUCCAGAUUCUCUGCUUCCUAAUUAAUCUGUAUUUUCAUGAAUUACGGCCUUUGGAGGGUUGGAUCUUGCCACAUUGUCUCAGUGCUGAGCACAAGGUUUCUCUUUAAUGACACUAAUCCUUUUUAGCACAUAUCUAUUUUUCUCUCUCAAGUCUUCAAAUGUGUUCUCUCUUCUUUUCUUGCUCACAUGUAAACUUUCCAUCCCUCUCCCCUUCCACCCUGAUAUCCGAGUAA
rnacentral:lncRNA from 1 species